rnacentral:snRNA from 1 species
GUGCUUGCUUUGGCAGCACGUAUACUGAAAUUGGAACAAUACAGAGGAGAUUAGCAUGGCCCCUGUGCAAAGAUGACACACAAAUUCGUGAAGUGUUCCAUAAUAUA